CCUUCUGCCACAGAGCUCCUGGGCCUGGGUCUCAUGCUGUAGCACAGGUCCACCUCCUAGCAAAUUAUUUGGAAUGAACAUGAGAAAUCUCCUGAUUGGCUCUCUCCGAAACACCACGACCACCUCCCAGCUGGUCGCCUAAAUCACUGGCCUCGGGCCCCUCUCCUGACUGCAAACUGAUAGCUGCCGGAAGCAAAG